UACAGAGGUCUCGAGCGUUUGUUCGGAUUCAUUGGGCGUAAAGGGUGUGUAGGUGGCGCCGUAAGUCGGGUGUGAAAUUUCGGAGCUUAACUCCGAAACUGCAUUCGAUACUGCGGUGCUUGAGGACUGGAGAGGAGACUGGAAUUCAUGGUGUAGCAGUGAAAUGCGUAGAGAUCAUGAGGAAGACCAGUGGCGAAGGCGGGUCUCUGGACAGUUCCUGACACUGAGACACGAAGGCCAGGGGAGCAAACGGG
rnacentral:rRNA from 1 species